CAAUAGCGUAUAUUUAAGUUGCUGCAGUUAAAAAGCUCGUAGUUGGAUUUCGGGUGGGAAUGGCCGGUCCGCCGUUUCGGUGUGCACUUGCUACGCCCACCUUGCUGCCGGGGACUUGCUCUUGAGUUCACGCUCGGGACACGGAGUCGGCGAGGUUACUUUGAGUAAAUUAGAGUGUUCAAAGCAGGCCUACGCUCUGAAUACAUUAGCAUGGAAUAACACGAUAGGACUCUGGCCUAUCUUGUUGGUCUGUAGGACCGGAGUAAUGAUUAAGAGGGACAGUCGGGGGCAUUCGUAUUUCAUUGUCAGAGGUGAAAUUCUUGGAUUUAUGAAAGACGAACUACUGCGAAAGCAUUUGCCAAGGAUGUUUUCAUUAA
rnacentral:rRNA from 1 species